GAUGAACGCUGGCGGCGUGCCUAAUACAUGCAAGUCGAGCGAACAGACGAGGAGCUUGCUCCUCUGACGUUAGCGGCGGACGGGUGAGUAACACGUGGAUAACCUACCUAUAAGACUGGGAUAACUUCGGGAAACCGGAGCUAAUACCGGAUAAUAUAUUGAACCGCAUGGUUCAAUAGUGAAAGACGGUUUUGCUGUCACUUAUAGAUGGAUCCGCGCCGCAUUAGCUAGUUGGUAAGGUAACGGCUUACCAAGGCAACGAUGCGUAACCGACCUGAGAGGGUGAUCGGCCACAAUGGAACUGAGACACGGUCCAGACUCCUACGGGGGGCAGCAGUAGGGAAUCCUCCGGAAUGGGCGAAAGCCUUACGGAGCAACGCCGCGGGAGGGAUGAAGGUCUUCGGAUCGUAAAACUCUGUUAUUAGGGAAGAACAAAUGUGGAAGGAACCAGUCACGUCUUGACGGUAACUAAUCAGGAAGCCACGGCUAACUACGUG
rnacentral:rRNA from 1 species